rnacentral:rRNA from 1 species
AUGUGCGUGCCUACGAGCCAUGGAGGUAUGGGGUUCAGAGAUGUACACUGCUUUAACUUGGCUCUUCUAGCUAAACAGUGUUGGAGAUUGCUAGCAGAACCAGAAUCUUUAUGUGCUAGAGUGUUGAGAGCAAAAUAUUUCCCGAAUGGUGAUUUACUAAAUUGUACCCUCAAGAAAGGAAGCUCAUAUACUUAG